AGAGUUUGAUCCUGGCUCAGGAUGAACGCUGGCGGCGCGCCUAACACAUGCAAGUCGAACGGCACCCCUCUCCGGAGGGAAGCGAGUGGCGAACGGCUGAGUAACACGUGGAGAACCUGCCCCCUCCCCCGGGAUAGCCGCCCGAAAGGACGGGUAAUACCGGAUACCCCGGGGUGCCGCAUGGCACCCCGGCUAAAGCCCCGACGGGAGGGGAUGGCUCCGCGGCCCAUCGGGUAGACGGCGGGGUGACGGCCCACCGUGCCGACAACGGGUAGCCGGGUUGAGAGACCGACCGGCCAGAUUGGGACUGAGACACGGCCCAGACUCCUACGGGAGGCAGCAGUGGGGAAUCUUGCGCAAUGGGGGGAACCCUGACGCAGCGACGCCGCGUGCGGGACGGAGGCCUUCGGGUCGUAAACCGCUUUCAGCAGGGAAGAGUCAAGACUGUACCUGCAGAAGAAGCCCCGGCUAACUACGUGCCAGCAGCCGCGGUAAUACGUAGGGGGCGAGCGUUAUCCGGAUUCAUUGGGCGUAAAGCGCGCGUAGGCGGCCCGGCAGGCCGGGGGUCGAAGCGGGGGGCUCAACCCCCCGAAGCCCCCGGAACCUCCGCGGCUUGGGUCCGGUAGGGGAGGGUGGAACACCCGGUGUAGCGGUGGAAUGCGCAGAUAUCGGGUGGAACACCGGUGGCGAAGGCGGCCCUCUGGGCCGAGACCGACGCUGAGGCGCGAAAGCUGGGGGAGCGAACAGGAUUAGAUACCCUGGUAGUCCCAGCCGUAAACGAUGAAUACUAGGUGUAGGGGUUGUCAUGACCUCUGUGCCGCCGCUAACGCAUUAAGUAUUCCGCCUGGGGAGUACGGUCGCAAGAUUAAAACUCAAAGGAAUUGACGGGGGCCCGCACAAGCAGCGGAGCAUGUGGUUUAAUUCGAAGCAACGCGAAGAACCUUACCUAGACUUGACAUCUCCUGAAUUACCCGUAACUGGGGAAGCCACUUCGGUGGCAGGAAGACAGGUGGUGCAUGGUUGUCGUCAGCUCGUGUCGUGAGAUGUUGGGUUAAGUCCCGCAACGAGCGCAACCCUUAUUGUUAGUUGCUACCAUUUAGUUGAGCACUCUAGCGAGACUGCCCGGGUUAACCGGGAGGAAGGUGGGGAUGACGUCAAAUCAUCAUGCCCCUUAUGUCUAGGGCUACACACGUGCUACAAUGGCAAGUACAAAGAGAAGCAAGACCGCGAGGUGGAGCAAAACUCAAAAACUUGUCUCAGUUCGGAUUGUAGGCUGAAACUCGCCUACAUGAAGCUGGAGUUGCUAGUAAUCGCGAAUCAGCAUGUCGCGGUGAAUACGUUCCCGGGCCUUGCACUCACCGCCCGUCA
rnacentral:rRNA from 1 species